CGAGCAGGCGGUCGGGCAGAUGGUGGCGCUGACGUUGUUGCGUGAACUCGGCCCGGUGGUCACCGCAUUGCUGUUCGCC
rnacentral:tRNA from 3 species